rnacentral:rRNA from 1 species
GACGAACGCUGGCGGCGUGCCUAAUACAUGCAAGUAGAACGCACAGUUUAUACCUUAGCUUGCUCCACCAUAAACUGUGAGUUGCGAACGGGUGAGUAACGCGUAGGUAACCUGCCUGGUAGCGGGGGAUAACUAUUGGAAACGAUAGCUAAGACCGCAUAAUAUUAAUUAUUGCAUGAUAAUUUAUUUAAAGAUGCAAUUGCAUAACUACCACAUGGACCGACGUUUUAUUAGCUAGUAUGGGAGGUAACGGGGCACCUAGGCGACGAUAGACAGCCGACCUCAGAGGGUGCGCGGCGAAACUGGGAUGGGGGCACGGCCCGCACUCCUGGGGGAGGGAGCCGUCGGGAAUCUUCAGGAAUGGAAGCAAGGGUGAACGAGGAACGCCGCGUGAGUGAAUAAGGUUGUCGGAUCGUGAAACUCUGGUGUGAGAGAAGAACGGGUGUGACAGUGGAAAGUUCACACUGUGACGGUACCUUACCAGAAAGCGACGGCUAACUACGUG